GCGGGCGUAGCUCAGUGGUAGAGCUCCUGCUUCCCAAGCAGGGGGUCGAGGGUUCGAACCCCUUCGCCCGCUCCA
rnacentral:tRNA from 1 species